CCCAGUGUAGCUCAACGGUGGAGCGCACGGCUGUAGCCCGUGAGGAUGCCGGUUCGAGUCCGGCCGCUGGGA
rnacentral:tRNA from 1 species